rnacentral:rRNA from 1 species
UACGUAGGUGGCAAGCGUUGUCCGGAUUUACUGGGCGUAAAGAGCGCGCAGGCGGUUGGAUAAGUCGAAUGUGAAAGCCCCCGGCUCAACUGGGGAGGGUCAUUCGAUACUGUCCGACUCGAAGGCAGGAGAGGGAAGCGGAAUUCCCGGUGUAGUGGUGAAAUGCGUAGAUAUCGGGAGGAACACCAGUGGCGAAGGCGACUACCUGGCCUGUUCUUGACGCUGAGGCGCGAAAGCUAGGGGAGCAAACGGGG